CGAAUACACUUACGAUGAAUCUAUGGGGGAAGGUCGGACUGAUUGCUUUUCAAAUACAUCGCACGGCUCCGCUGACCGGCACCCUCCAAACUCACAAGGGCACGCACGCUACUUGCACGAAUCCCAGAGGAGGGAGGAGGGAGGAAGGGAGGGAGAGCGAAGGAGGGAGAGAGGGGGUGGAGGAGCCAGGGAGCGGCGGCAGCGAGCGGUCCGUCUCGCACGCGCGGGCACCGCGCUGGUCCUGGGCUGCAGGUUUCCCAGAUGAUGGCAUCCGAGAACUUAAACAAAGGGGGCUGCCGCCGGCGCGCAGCGGCUGCGGAAAGUUGCGGUGGCGGAUUUCCAAGGAGCGUGGCCACGACCAGAGCUCUUGGCGAUGCGAGCCCCCGCUUCCCACCCCCGCCGAUCAGAGAAGGGGGCCGGCUGGUGAAGGGAAGAGGAAACUUUGAAACCACUGGGGACACAUCUGUCUAUAGAUCUAUUGCGAACGCUCAGAGCCGCCGAGGGAACGCCAACGUCUGGGCCGGACACUAAGAACAACUGCUGGGAAAAAAAUAAAACACCAACCCCAACCGUCAGCAACAAGAGGCAACCAAGAGCUCCGGCAAUAGCAACUUCAGAGAAAUGCACCAUCGCAAGAAGUUUUCCUAGGACAGAACAAAACUUGAAACGAGAGGACCAGAGGGGGAGAGCAGGAGCCAGCCUCCCCUCUCCGCACUCGCGAGCAGCCAGCAGCACCACGCCUUCAAGGACGAAAAAGUUUUACUACUCUAAGGGAAAACGAGUGAAAUGUGUUCCUGAGGAGGAGAGGAGAGGAGAGGAGAGAGCGGACAAGAGAAGGAGCGGGCCGGUUGCUGGUCAUCCGUAAUUUGGCUAAGGAAGAAAGGAGCAGCUUCUUUCUUUGUUAUCUCCCGUGAAACCUUCACUUAGCAGGUGGACGGAGCCCCGCGACCAGGCAGAGUCCAGGCUCGCCCGAGGACAGGAGGAGGAGCGGGAGCCCGCGCGUCCCGGGAGAGCGCCCCGAGUGCAGGUCCCCGCCCCGCCCGGCGAGCCCCGCUGGAGCGAGCCCAGCGCGCCGGGGCUGGGGGGCGGCCACGACCCCCCCUGAAGGGGGUGGCCACGGAGCGCACCCCGAGAAGCGAGCCCCCCUCCCCAGAGCGCUGCUCCUGCG
rnacentral:lncRNA from 1 species